GGUCACGUGAUGGAGUUGGUCACCAUACCUGUCUAACAUUCAUUCUUCAAUGUUUGGGCACACAGGAGGUCGGCGGUUCGAUCCCGCCCGGGAUCA